AAAAAAUGUAAGAAUGGAAUGUACUGGCUCACUGCUCCCACGGUGUCCUUACCAGCACAACUUACCCCAUCCCUCCCUAGCCCACUCUUGAGGAUACUUUCUUGCCACUGUCAGGCUUACUCCUGCCUCCUAGACUGAGGAAAGAAAAGCCUCCUGGUUUGGAGCUCAUAAUCAAGUCAGCCUUGCUGCAGGGCUCAUUUUAAGCCAGUAUCCUGGACCAGAUAAGGAAGCUGAAGCUUUGAGAAUUUAAUUUGCUCAAGGGGAGGCCAGGACAAGAAAUAAUGAAGAGUCCGAUGUGGCAGGAAUGUAGGAAACAAGUCAAUGAUGGAAGAUAAAUAUGGAGACGUGAUGAAGGCAAAAUUCUGAAGGGUCUUAGAGCCCAUUAUAAGACGUUUGGUUUUUAUGAAUAUUUCACUGAUUGCCUUGCCCGCUUCUCAAAGGCCCACUUCUCUGUGGAAUGAUGCAGUUGCUAAGAAGAGCUGUUAAUGUCAUGACCUCAAUGAAUAAAAAAGACUUCCUUUUCUCCAUGCCCACUCAAGUAAAAGGCUUCUCUCUGAACUCCUGCUAAUUUUUCAUCAGCAAAGGUGCACAGCCUUUUGGAAGUGAAAUGAUUACUAGUGAAGAAAAAGAAAGAACCUAACACUUAUUUUACAAGCCUCCCAGUGACCACUCUUCAGACAAAACUUCUUAUAAUAGCUUCCUUCCCUGAAUCUUUUGCGAAACAUCAAAUCACAAAGAGAUCUUAUUAUGCCAUUAAGAAUAUUUAAUUCAUGGGAGGAGGUCAAAAUAUCAACAUUAGCUGGAUUUUGGAAAAAGUGGAUUCCAACCCUCAGUGGACGACUUUGUGGAAUUCAAGACUCCAAUAGAGGAAGUCACCACAAAUAGCAAAAGAACAAGAAUUACCUGUGCAGCCUGAAGACGGGACUGAAUUGCUGCAAUUGUAACAUCAAAUGUUAAAUCUGAACCAGACCAUGUCCUGAAACAAAAGAGGAAGAAUCUUUGGGGAGCUGUGCUGAUGGUUUUGGAUUUCUCCAAAGGAAGAAUGCUUUGCCUGAGUCUUGUAUCCUUGGAAUUAUUAGGAAUGUUUGCCAUUAAAUAAGAUCUGAUUCAUGUGAGUUUGAGUUGACAGCUCUACCCUAUGUGUUAUCUCAGAACUCUAUACAGCAAACUAUAGAAUAUUGUUGAGAUAAAUUAAAUGAAACCUUUCCAAAUGGAAAGAUAUAUAUCAUUUUAUAGAUUGGAAAACUUAAUACUAAAAAGUGAUAGAUUCAAUACAAUGGAAUCUAUUGUUUCUAAAAUGUGCAUUUGUGUUAGUUUAUGUAUGUAUAUAAAAAUUGAAAAGCUAAUUUUAAAAAUACACAUGAAAAUAAAAGGGCCAAGAAGAACUGAGACAUUCUUGUGGAAGAUGUCAAUUCUUGCUGUACAGAUGCUAAGAUUACUAUAAGGCUUUAGUCAUUAAGGCAGAGUGGUAUUCCCUCAAAAAUUGACACACCACUGAAACAGAAUUGAAGGACAAAAAAGCCUCUACAUAAUUAUAGACACUUAAU
rnacentral:lncRNA from 1 species